AGAGUUUGAUCAUGGCUCAGAUUGAACGCUGGCGGCAGGCCUAACACAUGCAAGUCGAGCGGUAACACAGAGAGCUUGCUCUCGGGUGACGAGCGGCGGACGGGUGAGUAAUGUCUGGGAAACUGCCUGAUGGAGGGGGAUAACUACUGGAAACGGUAGCUAAUACCGCAUAAUGUCGCAAGACCAAAGUGGGGGACCUUCGGGCCUCAUGCCAUCAGAUGUGCCCAGAUGGGAUUAGCUAGUAGGUGGGGUAACGGCUCACCUAGGCGACGAUCCCUAGCUGGUCUGAGAGGAUGACCAGCCACACUGGAACUGAGACACGGUCCAGACUCCUACGGGAGGCAGCAGUGGGGAAUAUUGCACAAUGGGCGCAAGCCUGAUGCAGCCAUGCCGCGUGUGUGAAGAAGGCCUUCGGGUUGUAAAGCACUUUCAGCGGGGAGGAAGGCGGUGAGGUUAAUAACCUCAUCGAUUGACGUUACCCGCAGAAGAAGCACCGGCUAACUCCGUGCCAGCAGCCGCGGUAAUACGGAGGGUGCAAGCGUUAAUCGGAAUUACUGGGCGUAAAGCGCACGCAGGCGGUCUGUCAAGUCGGAUGUGAAAUCCCCGGGCUCAACCUGGGAACUGCAUUCGAAACUGGCAGGCUAGAGUCUUGUAGAGGGGGGUAGAAUUCCAGGUGUAGCGGUGAAAUGCGUAGAGAUCUGGAGGAAUACCGGUGGCGAAGGCGGCCCCCUGGACAAAGACUGACGCUCAGGUGCGAAAGCGUGGGGAGCAAACAGGAUUAGAUACCCUGGUAGUCCACGCCGUAAACGAUGUCGAUUUGGAGGUUGUGCCCUUGAGGCGUGGCUUCCGGAGCUAACGCGUUAAAUCGACCGCCUGGGGAGUACGGCCGCAAGGUUAAAACUCAAAUGAAUUGACGGGGGCCCGCACAAGCGGUGGAGCAUGUGGUUUAAUUCGAUGCAACGCGAAGAACCUUACCUGGUCUUGACAUCCACAGAACUUAGCAGAGAUGCUUUGGUGCCUUCGGGAACUGUGAGACAGGUGCUGCAUGGCUGUCGUCAGCUCGUGUUGUGAAAUGUUGGGUUAAGUCCCGCAACGAGCGCAACCCUUAUCCUUUGUUGCCAGCGGUUCGGCCGGGAACUCAAAGGAGACUGCCAGUGAUAAACUGGAGGAAGGUGGGGAUGACGUCAAGUCAUCAUGGCCCUUACGACCAGGGCUACACACGUGCUACAAUGGCAUAUACAAAGAGAAGCGACCUCGCGAGAGCAAGCGGACCUCAUAAAGUAUGUCGUAGUCCGGAUUGGAGUCUGCAACUCGACUCCAUGAAGUCGGAAUCGCUAGUAAUCGUAGAUCAGAAUGCUACGGUGAAUACGUUCCCGGGCCUUGUACACACCGCCCGUCACACCAUGGGAGUGGGUUGCAAAAGAAGUAGGUAGCUUAACCUUCGGGAGGGCGCUUACCACUUUGUGAUUCAUGACUGGGGUGAAGUCGUAACAAGGUAACCGUAGGGGAACCUGCGGUUGGAUCACCU
rnacentral:rRNA from 1 species